rnacentral:rRNA from 1 species
AUGGACGGAGAAUCUGCAUUCGGGAGGGACGAGAAUGGUACUGAUAAGGUGACUAAGACCAAUAACGAUAACUUGAACGAAGAUGAUGACAACAGCGACAACGAUUCCGUCUCGUCAUAUGAUAUCUUACCUCCGGAGGAUUUUGAUAAUAAUGAACAUGGCGCAAAUAGCGAAAACGUAAGUGCCGUAUAUUUUUUUAUUUUCGAAAUUGCAAAGUAUGGCAUGGCUAACUGUAUAUCUUUGUGUACAAAUUUCCAAGAAGAUGUGGAUGUUGACAAUGUGCAACAUAGUUGGCAGGAAUCAUUUGCAGAUAACUUGAGCCAGGUUAGUUGA